CUUCAGUUUCUCCGUUCCUUAUCAUAUUACAGUAUGCAACUGGAAUUUUUUUUAGUGCUUUUGUUGCGGUUUAGAGAAAGUCUCAAGGGUGAAAUAUGCAUCUUCUUUCCUUUGAUAGUUCUCCGGUCCCUGGAUGGCUUGGAUUUACCUAUGAA